rnacentral:tRNA from 1 species
GCCUCCUUAGCUCAGCCGGUUAGAGCGCCGGACUGUUAAUCCGUAGGUCCUAGGUUCAAGUCCUAGAGGGGGCG